rnacentral:rRNA from 1 species
UUGUAACAGAACUGUGGGGACGCAGGGAGGAAAGAAGAGCCGGGAAUGAAGAGACCGGUGCAAGCGAGGUAGGAGUCUGAAAGGCAAAACCGUCAGACAAUCCGAAGACGUGAUGCGCAGCGAACUGAAGUAGCGAAGCUUCGGCCCCUAACUGCCAAGAAAAGCCGCUAUUGUUUGCAUGACACCCGUACCGUAAACCGACACAGGUGGAUGAGGAGAGAAUCCUAAGGCCGACGGGAGAAGCAUUGUUAAGGAACUCGGCAAAAUGACCCCGUAACUUCGGGAGAAGGGGUGCCUCGAAAGAGGCCGCAGAGAAUUGGCCCAAGCAACUGUUUAGCAAAAACACAGGUCUAUGCAAAACCGAAAGGUGAGGUAUAUGGGCUGACGCCUGCCCGGUGCUGGAAGGUUAAGAGGAGAGCUUAGCGCAAGCGAAGGUUUGAAUUUAAGCCCCAGUAAACGGCGGCCGUAACUAUAACGGUCCUAAGGUAGCGAAAUUCCUUGUCGGGUAAGUUCCGACCUGCACGAAAGGCGUAAUGAUUUGGGCGCUGUCUCGACAAUGCACCCGGUGAAAUUGAAGUACCAGUGAAGAUGCUGGUUACCCGCGCCAGGACGGAAAGACCCCAUGGAGCUUUACUCUAGCUUGAUACUGGGAUUCGGUAUUGUCUGUACAGGAUAGGUGGGAGGCUAUGAACCGUGGACGCCAGUCUGCGGGGAGCCGCUGUUGGGAUACCACCCUUACAAUACUGGAUUUCUAACCUGCCGCCAUGACCUGGCGGAGGGACAAUGUCUGGUGGGGAGUUUGACUGGGGCGGUCGCCUCCGAAAGAGUAUCGGAGGCGCUCAAAGGUCCUCUCAGGAUGGACGGAAACCAUCCGAAGAGUGCAAAGGCAUAAGAGGGCUUGACUGUGACACCGACGGGUGGAGCAGGUACGAAAGUAGGACUUAGUGAUCCGGUGGUAGAAAGUGGGAUUGCCAUCGCUCAACGGAUAAAAGCUACCCUGGGAUAACAGGCUUAUCACUCCCAAGAGUUCACAUCGACGGAGUGGUUUGGCACCUCGAUGUCGGCUCAUCGCAUCCUGGGGCUGUAGCAGGUCCCAAGGGUUGGGCUGUUCGCCCAUUAAAGCGGUACGCGAGCUGGGUUCAGAACGUCGUGAGACAGUUCGGUCCCUAUCCGGCGCGGGCGUAGGAUAUUUGAGAGGAGCUGUCCUUAGUACGAGAGGACCGGGAUGGACGAACCGCUGGUGGAUCCGUUGCAUUAUCAAGUGCAUGGCCGAGUAGCCAAGUUCGGAAGGGAUAAACGCUGAAGGCAUCUAAGCGUGAAGCCCCCCUCAAGAUGAGAUAUCCCAUUCUUUAAAAGAAGUAAGACCCCUUGAAGACCACGAGGUAGAUAGGGCAGAGGUGGAAGUACGGUAACGUAUGGAGCUGACUGUCACUAAUCGGUCGAGGGCUUGACC